AAGCAGCCAGCCCACAUUGAUAGGUAGUGAAUUACAUACGAUAGGAUGUUCCAGCCCUGAAUGACAGAAGUGUGGAAAAUUGCUCUGAUUGCCUUCUGAAGAGUUUAGGAACAAGGCAGCAAAAAUUACGCUUGUCCUCCUCUCUGGUCCUCUCCCUGGUCUUUGGUUCUGUGUUGUGAUUGAUCCUGUUCUAGCCACUGAAACAUGACUUGGAAUAAGACUUGUCGACUUCAUGAUUGUCUAAGAAAUGGUAGGGAGGAGCAUAGGCUAAUUGCUCAUGGAAUUAUAAAGCUUUAUCAAGUACCUCCAAAGCCAUUAAAAAUCUGUUUGGUAUACAAAUAAUUGAGCUUCUUAUAAAAGUGUUGAGUAUAGUCAGGCAGCUGAUGUGAUAACAGGGGUCUAUAAAAAGACUAUUAAUCUUUGGUCUGUGGUGUAACCCUGCAGGACUCUUCAACCAAGCGUUCGGCCCCUGUCUCCGGAUGGGAAGAGUAAGUCCAAGGUGCAGGGUUCUUGGUGUUGGGCAGGGUUAUCCUUGGGCCUUCCUAAGUCUGGGCUGGUUUGUUUUUCUUCAUUAAGAGUUUUUUCCUGGGCUGCUUAAGCUUUUCUUUCUUUGGUGCUGCUUUCAUUUCCUCUUUUGGGAGGGGAAACUUCAGUUUGGGAAGUGCUUUGUAAGAACAACUUGGACGUUUUUCUGAUCUUGUCUGCUCAAUCUCUAGGAAUUUCCAAAGAGGAAUUUUUGAGCAAGACACCUGCUGAAAGGUCAGAAUGCGGAAGUGAAGGCAAAGGUGCCUGCAGCUGCUGUUCCUGCCCCAGUGGAUGCCUGGAAAAGUACAGGACAAGUGCCUGGGCAGCAGGUUCAAUGUUGAGAGACGUACUUCAAUGGGAAGGUGGUACAGCUCUUUCCUGCUCACAGGUCUUUGAGGAGUCAAUCCAGCCAUGGCUACGGGAGAGAAAUAAUAAUCAUCGUAUGGAAGAACCACCAUUAAUCCAGAUGAUAAUUGGCAGUUGGCCCUUUGGGGCUUCAGACAGAGAGUCUUUCCCCAGCGCCACCUGGAGAUGCUGAGGAUUGAACCUGGGACCUUGUGGAUCCAGAACAGAUGCUCUGUUGUUCUACUUCUGGAGCACCUUGGGGUCCCCAUGCCUGGUUAUUGGACUCCAACUACUCCUGACUGUUGGCCAUGCUGACUGGGGCCAAUGGCAGCACACCUGGAGAAGGACACAUUCUGCAACUCUAUUUCUUUUCAAAGAAUGAAAACCAUUUUGCAGCCUGUAGCCAGAAUGAAGGCAAGAUAUCCUUUGAAGUUGGGGAAAGAGCCACAGGGGUGGUGGUUGUGGUGAGACUUUAUUUCUAUGCCACCUGUCCAUUACCCAGGUGAGGGAACACCUUUUAAAUGACACACAUACCGAGAGAAUCAAGAAUAUACACCCAGGGUCUCUGGCUGUUACAUCCUUGUGAUGGGCCAAGUAUCUCUGGCAGCGUUAUUCGUAGCUUACACGCCUCAGCCUUUUUGCCCUCAAUUUUU